AUAUUUAGAGGGCAUUUGAAUUAAUGAAUCUGUAGAUUCAACGUAACUCAAGUGCAGUAGUACUUGAGUUUUUCUGAAGUAUGAUUAUUUUUAUGUUGUUUAUUUUGACGUAAUCCGUACAGUUUGAAAGUUAAAUUCAAUUACUUCUUAUGUUUGUUUUGAUGUAACUUGGUGCUGGUGAAAUUAAUUUUUUGAGUUUCAUUUUUAGUUUCGAUGUAAGUAAGUGAAUUUUAUUAUUUUUUAAAUAUAGUGGUAAAUUUAUCACUAUAAAAUUUAACCUAUUAUAUAAUUAUUUUUUUUAUUAUUUAAAGGUAAUCAUAAUUUAUUAUAAAUAAGGUAAUUUUAACUUAUUAUAAAGGAAGUAGAGUUUAGAUUUUACUAUUUAAUAAAUUUUUUAGAGGAGGUUUAGUGUGACAGAAGUCGAGUUCGACACUUUAGAGGAGAAAGUCGAGAAUGAGCAAAAUAGGAGUCUAACGUAACUUAAAUUAUAUUAUAUUUUUAAUUUAUAUUAAAAUAAAUAAUAAAAGUGAUGAAACUUAAGUUCCAUCACUCCACUUACGUGGAAACAAGCCGACCGCAGGUGAACCACA
rnacentral:lncRNA from 1 species